GCAAUUCUUCUUUUUAUCACACAAUACUGUUGAGUUGCGCCAAAGUUCUUACCAUCACUUCCCUUCUUGCUGGCUAUACUUCUCCGUCUUUUGUGCGACCAUAUCAUAACCGACUGUCGUAUAAGAGAGAAACAAGUCAUAAACUAAAUCACUCCUUCAUUCUUUCCCUCUCUGUCAGACAGUUUUAGAUGAGAGGACAUUACAUAAAAUGCAAUCUCUUCUUUUAUUUUUAUUUAAAAAGGUGAGUAGACUAUUAUGUCGCAUCCAGUGGACAAUCAACUCAACUGACAGGGCUGAAAAUAACUUAUGUCCCUGGAGGAUCGACUCAAUCGCCCAUAAAGGGAAACCAACACAAAACCCCUACCUGUUGGAUUAGUGCUCACGAAACUUAUCAGACGAGAGGCGGACGAUGUCGUCAUUCUGUGCCUUGACGAAUUUUCAGGAAGCCUCGUAUACGCUCGUGAUUUUUUUGAAAACGAAAUUCCAGAUGGCUGCCAUCAUAUUGAAAACAAAUAAUUUUUCAAAUCAACUUUCAGCCAAAUUGAUCUACACGAUUUCGUGAUCAAUUAUCGCGAACUGAUUUUGAUUUCAGCGUCCAGUGCCCAAUUCCUUCGGCCAACUAUUGUUUAAUAGCAACGUGGUUUUGAACGAACUUUGGUUGUCUGUUAUACUGGAGAUUUGCAUCUUGCCAUGAAUGCUACAAUAUGCAAAGUGAGCUAAAAAGUUGUUGGCUGUUUCGCCUCACCAAUCAUCCUCACAACCGGCGGCGUUCAGAGAUACUUGUGACCGUAUAAAUUUUCAUAGAAAUUACUAUACGCGAUUGAAUCGUAAUUACACUUUUUGUUUUCAUUCCAUCGUCUACCUGUUACAAAACUGUGAUUGGAAACCUCGACGGUCAUACAGUCGCAAUUAAAAAAAAUAAUUGUUUGGUGUGGUGGAAUCUUUUAAACUUACAAAACCCGUUUUCGUUUCUAUUGUCGAAAAACUUGUGAGAAAUAAAAAAAUUUAUUAUAAAAUGUUUUAGUAUAUAGACGCCUGUUUAAAACAGACGUCAACAAGAAUUUUAUUUACGGACGGUCUCAUCUUUCGGCGGUUUAUCAAGGGGACACCUCCCACUCAACCAUCCACAUGAUUCGGAGUCGGGAAUUCGUUUCCGUUGUCCUGAAUUUGAUUCGACCCAAGUCGUGCUAGCCAGAUAAUGCAAUCAUUUUCGACUGGUUAGUUUUUGAAUCCCACGUAUAGUUAAGAAAAAAGAUUUUCGCAACUUAAGUAGGCUACGUAUAUAAAAAUCGUGUUAUCUUUGUACAGUUGAUUGUUGAUAUCGUUAAAUGUUGUUGUAUAUACCGUGCCUUUUCUACUAGAA